rnacentral:rRNA from 1 species
AUUGAACGCUGGCGCCAGGCCUAACACAUGCAAGUCGAACGAGUGGCGGACGGGUGAGUAAUGUCUGGGAAACUGCCUGAUGGAGGGGGAUCACUACUGGAAACGGUAGCUAAUACCGCAUACCAUCGGAUGUGCCCAGAGGGGAUUAGCUCGUAGGUGGGUUAACGGCUCACCUAGGCGACGAUCCCUAGCUGGUCUGAGAGGAUGACCAGCCACAGUGGAACUGAGACACGGUCCAGACUCCUACGGGAGGCAGCAGUGGGGAAUAUUGCACAAUGGGCGGAAGCCUGAUGCAGCCAUGCCGCGUGUAUGAAGAAGGCCUUCGGGUGGUAAAGGACUUUCAGCGGGGAGGCGUUCCACGCAGAAGAAGCACCGGCUAAGUCCGUGCCAGCCGCCGCGGUAAUUC